AAGAAAUAUAAUAUGGGUUA
rnacentral:snRNA from 1 species